UGUUCUUGAAGCUGUUCUCCAGGAGGUGAUACCAGCACAGGGAGACUCAGCCUACCUCACCUUGGCAUUGACCUGCAAGUGCUUUGAAGCCGUUGUAACUGACCCAGUUUUCAGGAAGAAGACUCACUUUGCUUGGCUGGAUGGUGAGAUCAACUGGGGCAAAUUUUCAAAAACAUUCAAGGCAGAAAACCGGAUUCCUUUUGCGGUUGUAACGUGUUUUUCCUGCAACUGGUAAUAUAAAGACUGUGGGCUUCACUGGCAAUGGAAGACGAGGAGAGUACCCUGGUUACUAUUGUGAUGGCCGACCUGGACACUACACUGACUGUCAAUACUGAAUGCAAGGAGAAUAUUAGUUGCUUUCCUCUGUCUUUCACACAUUUCAGUUGUCACACAUUGUUUGUUUUUUUUGUGACAUGCCAUUUUAAAUCAUUUCUGCUAAAAAAUAUUUGCCUUUUGACUUGUGCAGUCAUCCUUUUUAAUAAUGUGUUCUUUCAAUAUUAUUUACAUUUUUGAAUGUUCCUUUUGUUGUAGCUCAGUUGAUUUGCAUUAUUUAGUUUUCAUAGAAAUGGUGCCGUUUCCACACAAAGUUACAUUGUGGCUGUAAUUUGUUGGAGAGAGUAGAACCAAUAAAGUAGUUGUAAAUAUAUUGUAACAGCGUUGUUUAACAAUAGGAUAACCUUGUUUUAAAAAUUUGAAAUGCAAGCAAAGCUAAUAACUUGCAAUAUUUUAUAUGUGUAAAUACAAUGUUUCCUAUACUUUUUGAACAAUGACUGGAAUCAAUACAAAUUUUUUUACAAACCUGA